ACUGGCUGAGGUAGUAGUUUGUGCUGUUGGUUGGGUUGAGACACUGCCCGCUAUGGAGAUGACUGCGCAAGCUACUGCCUUGCCAGU
rfam:Xiphophorus maculatus strain JP 163 A Contig302.39, whole genome shotgun sequence.